ensembl:lncRNA
AUGGCGUCUGGCGGAUCCCGAAGCGUCUUGCCGGUGGCGGGGGUGGGGGUGGGGAGUUGGGGGGUGGGGGCGGGGGGCGGGAAGAAAGAAAACUCGCAGGUUGGAGUCCACCUCCUACACGCAGUCCCGGAGUCACUGCUGGACGGGGGCGAACGUCCGGGCACAAAACGUGGGAGAAGAUCCGAACGCGGGCGCACACGGGGUCUCUCGGGACCGGUGGUGACCGGGCCCAUGGAACACCCAGCUCCAGGAGGCGGGACUCCGGGCCCGGUGCUGCUCGCCUCUGGGGGUGGGGCCCGGGGAGCGGCGGGCUGGGGUGAAGGGGGAGGCAGGGAGAGCUGCAGACAAAUGGCCGAAUUUGUUCCUCCGUCCGUAGCAGGGUCUCGGACCCCAAGGCCCGGACGGGCCCGGCAAGUAGUAGAAGGAGUGAGGACCCCACCAGCCUCCGGCCGCCAGCCAGCACCUCCCGAGGGAUUACCCCCGCCAGACACGGUCCAAGCAGUGGAUGAAUUUUCUGUGUUGACCGGACCACGAGCUCCCUGAAUCCGGGCAGUGACUUUCCUUCUUCGUGUGGCCCGUACCAGGCACUGUGCCUGGAACAGAGUAAGUGUUCCAAGAAUGCUUGCUGGCUGGAUACCAGGAAUCCUCUCCUUUUCCCACAUUUGGUUAUAACUGUCUAAUUUGGGGGUGCUGAAUACUCAGUAAAUAGCACCCCCUUCUCUUUGCAGAAAUGGUGAGGGUUCCACGGGAUUCUCUGACAGGCUCAGGAGUAAGUGGCCUGGUGACCUGUGGAGGGCCUCUCCCAGCACUGGGACUGUGCCCCGGCUGACCCGCUCCCCUGCCUCCACUUUUCCCACUGGGUUUUAGAGGCCCUUUGGGUGUCAGAUUUGCAUGCAAACCCGGGUUCGUGGAAGCAAGUGGGGGCGUUUUGGGUUGUCACAGUUGCUAGGGAAAGGGCUGACCUACCGAGCUCGGCCGGGCAGGAGCCAGAGGUCCUGCAUAUCUUGCAACAUCUCCGACGGUGCCACGCAAUGAAAGUUACCCUGGACACGAUGCCAGUGUGCCCGCUGUUGAAACAGCCCAGGUGAGGCUCAACGCUCAGAGUCUGAAGCAGGUUAGGUCAUGGGAGGAUUGGCUUCACUUCCUCACUCCCCCGCCCUUCCCUUCUUCCCAAAUAUCAGAGUCCGUAGGGUUCACACCCAGAAAAGCUGGCUCUGGGACGACUGGCGGGCACGGUUUAGAGAAGCGUCUGGCCCUGACGUGCCAGCCAGCGUUGGUGCCAGGAGCAGCGAGUCCUGACAGAUCCGAGCUCCUCGGAUCCUUGGACGGAAUGUGCUGAGGGCUCGAAUUACCGUGAAGAGAGCAAGCCACACGCCUUUUGGGUAAAUCCGCUGCAGUCACCCCUGGGCUCGCCUUUCUAAUCACCGCCUGAACACAAGGAGCAGACCGCGCCCCAUUGACACAGGCCCUGGGCUUCCUGGGGAUGGUCCCCUGGGAAGGAGGGAGUCACGUUCUGAGUUACUGCCUGUCCAGGUUUGGGCUUUGAGGGCAGAGGGGCUGGCUCCUCCCCGAGUGUCCCCAGCGCAGACAGGGCUCCCCCACCCUUGCAUCAAGCCAAAGCCUUGGCCUGUCCGGGACUCCUCGUUUAGCCUCUAUUCAAUUCAUCCAAAAGUCUGAGGACCGACUGCCCCGGUUUGCCUGAAACCAAGGGGGUUCCCGGGAUGUAGACUUUCAGCGGUGACCCCAAGAUAUCCCGGCCAGAGCAGGACAAGCUGGUCACCCUCUCCUGCGCAAAAGCCGCUGAGCUGGAGAGGGGCCGGAGGCAGAGAUGAUAGCCAGAGUAAAGAAUUUCACUCUAGACAGGAUGGGGAGACACCGCGGGGAUUUACGUAGGGUCCAAAUCUGACCUGGUGUGAUGCAUUUUCCUAAGCAACCCCUGGUGGCAGCGUGGUGAACCAGAGUGGAAAGCCGGAGACCGGUGAGGGAGCUGGUGCUCAUCCGGGUGAGCAAGCCUGGUGGCUCGGACCAGAGCGGUUACAGUGGACGUUGUGGUGUGCCACCCGCCUCCCCUCCAGGAGCCCGGAGCUCGUUCCCCUGGUGGCCGGGAGUGCUGGCUGUGGACAGCUCGCUCCCCUAUACGUCCCAUGACUGGUUGACUUGGGUGUUCAGACCCUGCUCCCUGCCCUCAGCUGAGAACAGCAUCGCAGGGCCGCCCCGCCCCAGGGAUCCAGUGGGGUCUGCUUCAUCCCUCUCUGCCUCCUUUGCUUCUUUGCCAGUGCUAUUCUGGAGACUUCUCCGGCAACUCGUCUCCUGGCUACCCCCCAUCUCAACCUCCAGCUCCUGGUAAACCUGACCUGGGACAGUGGUACAGUGAAUGUGGGAAGAAAGAGUUGUGCGCGUGCGCUCCUGUAAGAGCGUGCAUGUAUGUAUACACACAUUUUAUAAGGUAAAAUUUGUAUACGGUAAACGCACAAAAUCUUAAAUAUACGGGGUGCUGAAUGUUGAAAUACGUAUUUAUCUUCAUAACCCCCACUCAGAUCAAAACAUGUAUUUCUGGGGCUCUGGGGAGGCUCAGUCAGUUGAGUGUCUGACUUCAGCUCAGGUCGUGAGCUCAGGGUUUGUGAAUUUGAGCCCCGCGUCAGGAUCUCUGCUGUCAGCACGGAGCCUGCUUUGGAUCCUCUGCCCGCCCCCUUUGCUCUUCCCCCACUCUUGCUCCCUCUCUCAAAAAUGAAUGUUUAAACGACAACAAAAACAUAUACAGUAAAACCAUGGUUUACGAGCAUAAUUCAUUCUGGAAACGUGCUUGUAAUCCAAAGCACUUGUAUAUCAAAGUGAAUUUCAAGAACCAUUGGCUCAGUUGUGAUCAUGUGACAUUUGUCAUCACGUAUCAGUCAUAUUGCAAGACCACUUGUUCGUCAAGUUAAAACUUAUUAGAAAUGGUUUGCUCAUCUUGUGGAACACGCACAGAACAAGUUACUCAUUAUCCAAGGUUUAACUGUAUUUCCUUCACUCCUAGAAAUUUCCUUGUGACCUUUUCCAGUUCAUAAUAUCCCUCCAGGUAGCUACCGUCUGACUUCUACAAUAAUCUGAUCAAAGAUGAGUUUUUGUUUGCCCUUGAACUUCAUAUAAAUGGAACCGUGAGUAGGCACAUUUUGCCGAACAUCACACUUUUGAGAUUUUUCUUAAUGUUUCUGGGUUUAUCAGAUCUUUUUUAUUUCUGAGGAAUGUAUGCUUCUUGUAAACAGUUUGUAGUUGGGUUUAUUUUUUGUUGUUUUAUUUAUUUUAAUCUUCCUUGACCAUCUCUAUCAUAUAAGUGAGGUAUUUAGUUGUCUCAUCUUUGUUCUGUCCGGCCUCCUUGUCUGCCUUCCUUUGAUUAAUCAAGUGUCUUUAUUACUCCGUUGUGUUUCCUGUAUAGUCUUCACACCUAACCCUUUCAGUUAAUAUUUUUGAGGUUGCUCCAGAAACUGUAGGUAUACAUUCUUAAUUUAUUGCAAUUACUUUUAACUUGGUUCCAUAGUCAUUCAUGCAGCAAAUAAAAGCUUUACAGCAGUAUAAUUCCA